rnacentral:rRNA from 1 species
UCGAGAAUUUUUCUCAAUGGGCGAAAGCCUGAAGGAGCGACGCCGCGUGGGGGAUGAAUGGCUUCGGCCCGUAAACCCCUGUCAUUUGCGAACAAACCUUACGAUUUAAUAGAUCGUGAGCUGAUUGUAGCGAAAGAGGAAGGGACGGCUAACUCUGUGCCAGCAGCCGCGGUAAUACAGAGGUCCCAAGCGUUGUUCGGAUUCACUGGGCGUAAAGGGUGCGUAGGUGGUCGGGUAAGUCUGAUGUGAAAUCUCCGAGCUUAACUCGGAAAUGGCAUUGGAUACUAUUCGGCUAGAGGGUUUGAGGGGGGACUGGAAUACUUGGUGUAGCAGUGAAAUGCGUAGAUAUCAAGUGGAACACCAGUGGCGAAGGCGAGUCCCUGGAAAACUCCUGACACUGAGGCACGAAAGCUAGGGGAGCAAACAG